UACGUAGGGGGCGAGCGUUGUCCGGAUUUACUGGGUGUAAAGGGCGCGUAGGCGGACUUGUAAGUCAGAGGUGAAAUCCUGCAGCUUAACUGCAGAACUGCCUUUGAUACUGCAAGCCUUGAGUUCGAAAGAGAGAGAUGGAAUUCCGGGUGUAGUAGUGAAAUACGUAGAUAUCCGGAAGAACACCAGAGGCGAAGGCGAUCUCUUGGUUCGUAACUGACGCUGAGGCGCGAAAGCGUGGGUAGCAAACAGGAUUAGAUACCCUGGUAGUCCACGCUGUAAACGAUGAAUACUAGGUGUCGGACAAAAAGUUCGGUGCCGCAGCUAACGCAUUAAGUAUUCCACCUGGGGAGUACAAUCGCAAGGUUGAA
rnacentral:rRNA from 1 species